GAUGAACGCUGGCGGCGUGCCUAAUACAUGCAAGUCGAGCGAACAGACGAGGAGCUUGCUCCUCUGACGUUAGCGGCGGACGGGUGAGUAACACGUGGAUAACCUACCUAUAAGACUGGGAUAACUUCGGGAAACCGGAGCUAAUACCGGAUAAUAUAUUUAACCGCAUGGUUCAAUAGUGAAAGACGGUUUUGCUGUCACUUAUAGAUGGAUCCGCGCCGCAUUAGCUAGUUGGUAAGGUAACGGCUUACCAAGGCAACGAUGCGUAGCCGACCUGAGAGGGUGAUCGGCCACACGGGAACUGAGACACGGUCCAGACUCCUACGGGAGGCAGCAGUAGGGAAUCUUCCGCAAUGGGCGAAAGCAUGACGGAGCAACGCCGCGUGAGUGAUGAAGGUCUUCGGAUCGUAAAACUCUGUUAUUAGGGAAGAACAAAUGUGUAAGUAACUAUGCACGUCUUGACGGUACCUAAUCAGAAAGCCACGGCUAACUACGUG
rnacentral:rRNA from 1 species